rnacentral:SRP_RNA from 1 species
GCUGGGUGUGGUGGCGCAUGCCUGUAAUCCCAGCUACUUGGGAGGCUGAGGCAGGAGAAUUGCUUGAACCCAGGAGGAGGAGGUUGCGGUGAGCUAAGAUCACACCACUGCACUCCAGCCUGGGUGACAGAGCAAGACCCCAUCUCAA